UAUUGGACAAUGGGGGGAACCCUGAUCCAGCGACGCCGCGUGAGUGAAGAAGUAUCUCGGUAUGUACAGCUCUAACAGCCGGGAACAAAGAAAUGACGGUACCUGAGUCAGAAGCCCCGGCUAACCACGCGCCAGCAGCCGCGGUAAUACGUAGGGGGCAAGCGUUAUCCGGAAUUACUGGGUGUAAAGGGAGCGUAGACGGUGAUGUAAGUCUGGAGUGAAAGGCGGGGGCCCAACCCUCGGACUGCUCUGGAAACUAUGUGACUGGAGUGCAGGAGAGGUGAGCGGAAUUCCUAGUGUAGCGGUGAAAUGCGUAGAUAUUAGGAGGAACACCAGUGGCGAAGGCGGCUCACUGGACUGUAACUGACGUUGAGGCUCGAAAGCGUGGGGAGCAAACAGG
rnacentral:rRNA from 1 species